UACGGUAGGGACCAAGCGUUGUCCGGAAUCAUUGGGCGUAAAGCGCGCGUAGGUGGCUUCGUAAGUCCGUUGUGAAAGUCAAAGGCUCAACCUUUUGAAAGCCGAUGGAUACUGCGGAGCUAGAGUACGGAAGAGGCGAGUGGAAUUCCUGGUGUAGCGGUGGAAUGCGCAGAUAUCAGGAGGAACACCAAUAGCGAAGGCAGCUCGCUGGGACGUUACUGACACUA
rnacentral:rRNA from 1 species